GAUGAACGCUGGCGCCGUGUUUAACACAUGCAAGUCGAACGAAGAGGGUUAGAAUGAGAGCUUCGGCAGAAUUUCUUUCCAUCUUAGUGGCGGACGGGUGAGUAACGUGUGGGCAACCUGCCCUGUACUGGGGUAUAAUCAUUGGAAACGAUGACUAAUACCGCAUGUGGUCCUCGGAAGGCAUCUUCUGAGGAAGAAAGGAUUUAUUCGGUACAGGAUGGGCCCGCAUCUGAUUAGCUAGUUGGUGAGAUAACAGCCCACCAAGGCGACGAUCAGUAGCCGACCUGAGAGGGUGAUCGGCCACAUUGGGACUGAGACACGGCCCAAACUCCUACGGGAGGCAGCAGUGGGGAAUAUUGCACAAUGGGCGAAAGCCUGAUGCAGCAACGCCGCGUGAAGGAUGAAGGGUUUCGGCUCGUAAACUUCUAUCAAUAGGGAAGAAACAAAUGACGGUACCUAAAUAAGAAGCCCCGGCUAACUACGUGCCAGCAGCCGCGGUAAUACGUAGGGGGCAAGCGUUAUCCGGAAUUACUGGGUGUAAAGGGAGCGUAGGCGGCAUGGUAAGCCAGAUGUGAAAGCCUUGGGCUUAACCCGAGGAUUGCAUUUGGAACUAUCAAGCUAGAGUACAGGAGAGGAAAGCGGAAUUCCUAGUGUAGCGGUGAAAUGCGUAGAUAUUAGGAAGAACACCAGUGGCGAAGGCGGCUUUCUGGACUGAAACUGACGCUGAGGCUCGAAAGCGUGNGGAGCAAACAGG
rnacentral:rRNA from 1 species